rnacentral:lncRNA from 1 species
GGCAUGCCACCUCUCAGAAGACAGAAGACAGCCACGGGUUCUGCACCUUGAUCCUGUCUAGUGUCGUGUGGUUGAAACAGGGGUUGGAGAGGAUGCUAAGAACAUGUACCCAAACAGCAGAAGACCCCAGUUUGGUUUCCAGCACCCACAUUGGGCAGCUCAAAACCACCUAAAAUCCAGCUCCAACACCCUCUUCUGGCAUCAGUGGGUACCUGAACUCAGGUACACAUCCCUUACUCUUCCAUAUAUACACAUACUUAAAAACUAAAAUCUUAAAAUAAAGGCUAGAAGAACCUGAGGAGGAGAAAGACCCCAUAGGAAGACCAACAGUCUCAACUAACCCAGACUCCUGAGAUCUCUCAGACACUGAGGCUCCAACCAGGAAGCAUACACUAGCUGAUAUGAGGCUCAUGACACAUGACACAUAUACAGCAGAGGACUGCCUGGUCUGGCCUCCGUGAUGCACCUAACCCUUGAGAGACUUGAGGCCUCUGGGAGUAGGGAGGCCUGGCUGGGAGGGGACAUCCUCUUAGAGACGGGAGAGGAGGAAUGGGAUGAGGAACUGUCAGAGGGCAGACUGGUAUGGGUGUUAGG